CGUUGCCGUCUGCCAAGAACACUCGUCGUGCGGCCAUGUUCAGAUUCAGCUUCUCCGUGCACUGAUCUAGCAACUGGAAGACAGCAAGAGAGUUUUAUGUUAUCCAGGUUGAAGUGCACCUCAUGUUUUCCAUAAGUGUAAUUAACAACAUUCUACUUCUGUGCUUUCAAAGAAAAACAUAAAUAAAAUAAACAAAAACAGAAACAAAACCCUAGAGAUGGAGAUGUGUUACAGAUGACUGAAAUAGUCAACCGAAUCAUUAUAAGUUCUGCUCAAAGGAAACAGCUUCAACAGUUGGUUAAAAAGAACAGAGGACAGCUUUGAUUACCUCAGUUGACCCGCUGGAGCACUGACAGAUUCCAGUGCAGGUGUGGGGAGAAGAAAUACCUCUCAACCCUACUAUAUGAAGUCACCUGGACCGUGCCGCCGCUCAAGCUGUAGGCAGAGUUCCGAAGAGUCUUCCUUGAACAGCUCCACCAGAUUUUAGCCCUUACUUGACCAGUUACAGAUGAAAACAGUUGAUUACAUUUGAGGAUUCAACCACUUUAUAUUCCCAUGGAAGGUAGCCCCCGAUCAGCUCCAGGGAGGAAUCCUCAGUGGUCUAACACCAAUGACGAAUGAAGACAUGAAGGCUGGCCCCAGAUGGGUCAUCUUUAACUUUGAUAUGAUGCUAGGAAUAAAAGCCUUGCCCCAAGGAGGACAGUAGGAGUCUGAAUGUCUGACAACACAGAGUACCAGGUGAACCCUGGACUACCUACCUUCAGACUUUUACAUAAGGAAUAAA